ACAGCACUUCCCAUCGCAUUUGGCCAAAUUGUUCUUGCCAUAUCAAAAACAAUUAUCCUCAGGUGAAGAAUGUGCCUGCAGAAUUACAACCAUUCCAGGGGGAGAAAGAGGUCUUCACAAAUCUGACUGGCUUCCAGGCAGCCAAGACCCCCUCGAAGUGGUAAUGAAAAGUGUAACUUUAGCCUCCCAGCUGUACGUCUCAAUCCAUAAUCCUUCCCCAAAAACCUCACCGUAGAGCCGCCUACCACUCCCAUGGCGUUCCCAGCCUGUGCCGGGCUGGGCCUACACUGAUUUAUGUGGCAGUCCCGUGUCAUACUCUCAACCUGAAAAGGAUUUGCUCUCCUAUAUUUACCAGGGUGGUCAGGGCAGCUCUCUGGAAACACAGAAAGCCCAGUCUCCGGGCCUCACUCCCGCACAGUCGUUUUACCCCUCUGUGCCAAUAACAUGGAGAUUUUGGAGCUCCAGUGUUUCCAAAGUGGGGUGUUUAAGCAGUGCAGAGGUCAGAGUCCAUGUACUCACGCCAACACAGCCACAUGGCCACGUUUUGGUAUGCAGAUACACAGACACAGGUAAGUCUGGUCCAGGUGCACCCCACAGUGAUCCUGACCCACUCUGGUUCACCCCGCAGCUCUCAGGUCAAGCCUUGGGCCCAGCAGGUUCCCAGCACAGGUCACAGAAGGCCUCAACAUCCCAGAGAUGAGACUCCACACUUGCAUGAAGAGGAGUGUUUGAUGUGUCCCUUAGCUGGGAUGUGUUACCAUGUUACUAUGCCUUUAAUUAGCUCCAGCAGCUGCUACUUCCUGGUUGACAGGCCCUGGCAAACUCCACUGUCUCUGUAAUCUCUUACAGGUGACUGUCAGUUACAUGUCAGAUGUUGUAUAGUUGCUGGGAUGUGUGUUCUCCUUUAAGUCUAAUUAACCGUGAAGUGACAGUAGACAAGAGUAGUAAAAAAGAAAAAGAAGUGCUCGCGCUGCUGUAAUGACCACAGCAUGUUUCCAAAUAUGUUAUGCAAAUACGUCUCCAAGUGCCAAUUCCUGCCCAUUAUUUUUUACAAGUUUCGUGUCUGGUUUCCGAGGAUGCAAUCAUGACAAAGAGAUAGCGAAGUUCUCCUGGUGACAGUAAAAGUGCCACUCUGCAUUCUUUAUGUGGAUUUCCAGCUUGCACAAGACAUCUUAACCACUGGAAAUUGCCCUCUGAGGACUGACAGCUAAAAAUUUAUCUCAGAUUAGAUGAUUGCACCUUGUUCCCUGCUCUUCUUUGUCACUCCCAAGUUGGGGGAUCUUUCCUUAAAACUCCACUAGAGAUGAAAAAAGGAGACUUCAUAGCUGGCUAUGGCAUACUAAUACCCUGGACUCAUUAAAUUAAUGGGGGCCAGAUUCCUCUUACUGAAUGUGCACUGAUGCCCUUUGAGUUUGCCGGGGCUAGAGGGUGUGCAGCACUUUGAAAGCCCUGACCGGCAUAUUGAACAUGCUUUAAUAGAACCCUUUUGAGAGUCCUGGUAGGAUGCUCAGUAACUCUUUGCCUUUAAGUUCCCGCACCUCUCUGUGUGAUCUCGUCAGAUAGCCACUCUAUCCUCGGAUUCAGGCCUGGAGAGGGGGAGGGGACCUUGCACAUUAAAUGAGACCAGAGGUGUCCAUAUCUCAGCAGAAGCCAUUCUUUCCUGGAGAUGUGAAUCUUUGAGACAUGGUGCUGAGAAAGCUUUGAUGUAGAACGGUGCUCAGUGUAAGACUCUGAAACAGGAGGCUUACAGGCCGGUAUUCAGUGGGAUUCCCCUUCAGGGAGGAGAAUCUGGGCUCUCGUUGGACAUUCGUGGAGCGUUGAUUUAAUUAGUCUAUUCUGCUAUCCAUCCAAGCACUUGAGGCACAGGAAUAAAAUUCCGUCCGGCAAAUGGCCAUUACGAAUGUCACUGUCCAUUUAAUGUGAAGACACCACUAUCAAUCGCUCCAUAAUCUAGGCAAGCCAAAGGAGUUUAAAUAAAGAUAAGAACAGCAAAGAAAAGUAUAUUGUUUUAAAUACAAUACUGUGUCACAGUGAAUGCCUUAAAAUAAUGGGAGGAAUAGAAUAUUAAUACAUGAUUUUGCAUAUUUGCCUGACAGCAAAAAGAUGAAUUGAUAAGACAAGAAAGCUGUUGAACUCUAAUUUGCAUGAUAAAAAAGUCCCUUUAGAGUACCCUCGUGACUGUUGGAACCACAAGUACCAGAUGUUAAGAUAGAGCAAAUCUACCUCAGUGAAAUGAAGAUAUUAGGCUGGAGAAUCAUUUAUGAUUUAAUUAUUUCAAUAUUGGUGUUCUAGUAAGGCCCAAACCAUGUAGCUUUUUGCUCAGCUCUAAGGAUAUUUUGAUAAAAUGAUAAUCUUCCUCUCUUUUCUGCUCUGUCAUCUUGGCUGCACACUAUUGAACAGAAACAUCACUGACAAUGAUGUGAUUACACAGUCCAGUGUGAGGUAGCAAGACUCAUCCAGAUGGGCUGGGGGAAAAAAACUCUUUUAAACCCAGCUGAAUAAGGCAAGCAUCUAUAGAAGCACACUGACAGAGAAGAUGCAAUGCAUGAGCCAGACAAUGAGCCUCUAGCUGUUGCACAUAGCGAAUAAACAGAAAUCCAGUUGAACUAAAAAUGGCUGACUCAGACACACAGUAGAGAUAGCAUCACAUCUCCUGCUAUAAUUCUCCAUAUCUCUCCCUCUCCCUUUUGCAUACGACAAAACAGCACCAUAUACUUCUUACAGGAAACCAUGUUGGGCAAUCAUUGAUUUUCAUAGCUAGCUUUGACAGUAAUGAUUUCAUAAAGCCUUUGAUUUUAGCUCAAUCACAAUGGCUGCAACAUUGCUGGAUACCUCACCUCAUUAGCAAUUCCAUAAGCAGAGAGUGAUGCUCUGUUGUAGCUGCUGAUACUUACAUGCCUCCCACUCUAAAGUGUGGCGGUAAUUUAUUCUCUCCCCAGUGCUCAUCAUCCUGAUGCAACUCACACAGUGACAAGAAUCCAUCUCGUAGUACCUGGCAACAAACCGGAGGGGGGGAGGGGGACAAAGGAGGGGGAUCACAUAUUUUGUGAUCACAAUCAGAGGCGUGAGGACAGUUACUAGGAAGGUUUAAAACGUCCCAGUGUCAUAAAACUCCCACUAGAACACCUUGUGAAGAGUAAAACUGGUCUGAUUUAUCAUAGACAUGAUCACUCGUUCAACAGGUCUGACUGAGUUUAAAUAUUUUCAAGAGCAAAGGUAAAGAACAGUUCCCAGAUUUGAGCACAUAUAAGCCAUCUUCUGAUGCCAGAAGUUUUUCUCAGAGUCUGGCUUAAGCACUUCAAAGUUAUGUAGGCUACUAUAUAGAGAGCACGAUUCAUUUGGCAGCUUGUAUUGUCCAGCUUCAAAAACCUAAAGCUAGCCAAAGACACACUGUGGGCCGUUUUCAGCUUCAGAGAAGAGAAAGAAUUUAGCUUGAGCUUAGGGCACCCUUCCCCAUCCAGAGAUGGGCUUUUUUUCAUCUUUUCGUAGUCUUAGAGCAUUGGUGUGGUGACUAUGUGCUUCACAGGUGGGAGUCUGCCUCUGUCAAAUGAGGUAGUUCACUAAGGAUGGGAUUUGCCGCUGUUAUUUUUCUAUUAGGGAAGAAUUAUGCUAAGCCUUUAGAGGCCAUCUUUGUGUUGCUAUGGCAGCCCAUAUUUCCUACCGGGUUGCGACCUUGAAUGACUACAGUGCAAAGCCAAGUAGCCCCAAAACCCUUUGAGGAUUAGAACCAGUGUCUCAUAGUUAUGCAAAACGCCUGUGAUAUGAUUGAACCUUGAAUGGAUGAAUGACAAAGUUUAUUGAGAUUGCCUCUCUUUUCUUCUGAUUGUCAUUUGAUCAUCCCAAUCACUUAGCAUGCCUUUAAAUGCAGCCUUUCAAACGGCAAUUGUUUGGGAUAAGUUUUCAUGCCCACCAACCUUACAUUGUUAACUACUAAACCAGUAAAAACAAGAUCAUUUGUGCUUGUACAAAUGUAACUCUAGGGCUGGAACUAUUGACUAACAUUCAUCUUAUGUGAUAAAAUGAAUGGAAAUUCUCACAUGAUUUCCUCUUGGAUUAAUAAAGUAUUCUGAUUAUGGUUCUGAUGACUGAAAACAGUAAAAAGUAUGUAUAAGCCACGGUGACACCUUCAAUUUGCUUUCUAUGUCUAAUAGUCAAAAACCAAAAGGUAUUUAGUUUUACAACUAUGAACACACCAAAAAGACGCAAUGCAGGUUUAUGAGAAAAUGUUGCACAUUUUUCAAAUGAACAUUUGAUUAAAAUUUGGUGUUUUUUUCUAUUACUAGACUAAUCAAUUUUAGCAGUAAGUCAGACAAAUUGGUACAUUUAUUAUAAACACAAUGGUCUAAAAGGGGUAAUGUCCAUUUUGAAACUGAUUUUUCUCUUCCUGUCUUGUGCUGAUAGAUUUUUUAAUCAUCACCACAUACUACUGCUGGAGUUCUAGUGCUGGAUUGCAAUUUACAGCUGACUUGGAUGUUUCUUUCUGCGGCUGGCUAUAUCUAAGCUUACUAACAUUUAAUACAAAGUUGAGGUAGAAAUAUAGUUUGUGCUUAUGGAUCAAAUUAAAUGCACAACCAAAUCAAUGAUUUAUUUAUUUUUUCCAAUUUAGAAUUUGUUGCAAACUGUUUUCAAACCAGCCAUCAAAGCCUCAAGUCUAUUCGGAGGCAUGUAUAGACAGCUACUCAAAGCUGACACAAAGAUGAGGCUUUGAAAGUAUGAGAUUGACACUAUUGUGGUCACAAAGCACAACAGGAGACUACUUUGAAGAGGAAAAUGCUUUGAGUAUUGGAUUUCACUUCAGAAAUAGUGGCCAAAGACAAGCUCAGCUACUAGACGUGUUGAAUUGGUGUACAUUAAACAACAAAACCACGUACACUAUAUGCCACUUCCGUGUGUCCAAAAAGAAAUACGGAAAGGUUAAAACUCUGGUGUUAAAGUUUUGAAACUGCAGAUAAAUAUUAUGCACUAGGCUUUUUUUCUGUCUUCUGUAUCUUGGGAUGGUGAAGACUUAAGAUGCAUAAAAACUUGACAAUAUAUCCAAGCAAUCCUUACUUUUUUACUUCACAAAAUAAAGUGCAGCUAUCAUAGCCACGUCUUGUUGCCAGUUUGGGAAUUGAUCAGUCUCAAUUCCAAGCUGUAUCUUUCUCAACUGGCAGGUCUCCUGAAGUUGACACACUGUCUGACAGUGUCUUGUCAAUGACUGAGCUUGACUGAAAUCCCCAGCCAUGUUUGCUCACUGCCAAAGUGGUAUCUAUCAUCUUAUUUUUGACAAAUUCGUCACACACAUCUCUCAAUCUAAUUGGUCUUUGAGGUUCCUGUAAGACAAAGACUGCUAAUCUUAGUGUGAGCGUUUGAACGGCGCUUGCCAUUGAAUACUUCUCAAGUCUUUGAGCUUGUGUUCAGCGAAGUUUGAAAAACAUGACAGUCACAUUUUAGGUGCUCUGAUGUCACACAGUCUUUCUGGCUUAAAAGUUCACUCAAUAUGAGGUUUGGUCUACUUUGAUGUGGGGUCUCUAGUGAUGCGAUUUUAGCAUGCUAUCUGCCUCUGCUGUUCUCUGUCACCCACUCCUGCAAAGACUGACGUGGGAGCUGCCAGAGCUGAGAUUCAGCCUUUUAUUCCUGGUGACUACAAAUUAAAGAUAUGGGGAAGGUAAAUUCAGGCAGCACCAUGACAAGCAGAAGGUACAAACUUCUGCCAGUAUUUACUCCUGCGAGAGACACUAUACCUAAAAACCUGAAAUAUAGUCUGGCUCAGUCGUAGAUGUUUUUUUUCCCCGUUUUGUUUAUAAGACGACAAAAAUGUUAUUUUUAAUGUCUAGUGAUCGUGAAGAGCUUCUCCUGCUUCAAAUGGCAAGAAAAGCAAAGCUAUCAAGCGCUGUUUUUGUAAUGCAUCUCCAGAUUAAUUUACAUAAACAAGCUCACCUGCUUAUAAACACCCUGGAAAACACGCAGGGAAGUUUGUUUAUGACUUAUUAAUUUAAGUUUAAAAUACCCCUCUCCCAAACAACUUACAAUUCAUUUCCUGCACAUUAUGCAACGUUCCCCCGUCUGAACCUGAGACUGUGAAGUAGCAGCUCUGCGAGGGGGGGUAGAAACGCUGAAACGACGAUAAAGAUCUAGUAAUCUUGUUUUAUGCUUAUGGCGUCGAGAGAAGAUCCUCCGCCCCCCUGCGACGCGACGCUCACCUGAAGAAGCUACCGGAGCACCACAUGACUCCUCUGCUGCUCACAUCACCGUGUCCUGAGAAUGGGGAUUUAGUGAGGAUUAAAGCAGAAUAUUUCAAUUUAGCGCCGGAAUUUACCUGGCUGUGCCAAAGUAAUUACCUACCCCUUCUGGAAAAAAUGCAGUUAUGGAAACAGUGAAACACACCUACAGACGGGAACGACGUGAAUGGCUCUAAGUCGAAUAAAGAGGAAAUCUAGGACGUUAAUGAAAGUAAUUAAAAAACCCGUGUCGGUUGCCAAAUCUCUUCAUUAUAUAAUAAAUAGUUAAUAGUGUAAAAUAAAACAAUGUGCCAUUCGGUGUUAGUCCUGUUCGUUAGGUAGCAUAUUGUGUUAACCCUUUAUGUUCUGGAACAUUAUCAUAACAUCAUUUUUCAGUUUGGACUGGGAGCAUAGUCUGUCGAAGACUCCUUAAAACGGAAACGCUAUUUUAUUAUUAUUAUUAUUAUUAUUAUUAUUAUUAUUAUUAUUAUUAUUAUUAUUAUUAAUAAUAAUAUUAUUUUGUUUAAAACAUUUUUUAACAUUAUGAGGUUAAAUAGAUAUAGAGGCGAGAUAUCAUUUGGAAAUUUCACUGAGUAUAAAAGGAAAUAUUCAUAUUGGAUAGAAAAUUAUAAUUGUGGGAAACCUGGUGUAGUUUCAGUGUAUGUGUGUAAGAAAAUCGCAAAGGAAAAUAUAGGUUUAUAAAACUUUAAUAUAUAUAUUCACAUAUGUGCUAUUAUUAUUAUAUAGGCCUAUUUGUUAUAUCCUGUAAAAGACAUUUUUAAACUUAAAGGCCGGAUUUGAAAUCAUAAUUUUAAUAUUACAAUACAUUAAACUGAGGUUGUUGCUGUAAGCUAAAUAUUAGAGUACAGUUGAAUUAUUUGUACAUUUACCGUCCUGCUACAAAAUAGACGGAAUGUGAUGUUUUUUGUAAUUUAUUCUUUUUUGACUCAUAACAUGUUGACUUAAGUUUGUUGCGCUCAAAUGUAAUUAGUGGAGUCCCUAGGUGCAAGCUUCUUCAGAUUAAAGCUUUUAUUCAUCUGUGUGAUGUGUUUAGGUGCUGUAUGGAGAACUGCGCCAGCUCAUUUGCUUUAGUUAAAAAAUGAAAGAAAGAAAGAAAAAAGGCCUGAAUACAAUUAGGUGUUGUCUGUGGUUAUGAUUUAUUUCAUUGACCAGUUAUGACCAAAUAUACAAACAAAAGGCCUUCAUGUUCAAAUAUAAAUACGUUUAGCUCUUUGAUAUGAUAACUUUACACAUUUUGUUGAGUAAUAUUUUCCUUCACUGCAAAAUAAAUGCUUAAAUAAAGUGGAAUGGUUCCUAUGAAAGUAUGAAAGGAAUGCAGACAGACUAAAAAAUAAGAUGAAAGAUGGGGACGGAGUCAUAUUUAUGCUCUCCGCUUAGCGUCACAUUCUCUGAUUUGGAUUUGACGCAGAUUCUGUCGGUGAUCUUUCAUAUUGCCUUUCAUCACAUGAGAGAGACGAAAACAUCUGUAGGAUACCUUGUUCGGUCUGUUCUACAGAGAAGACGAGACAGAGGGCCCCUGUGUGAGUAUAUCCCAUGUAAACAGGGCCCUGUGCAUUGUGUGAAUUAGGUGGAUUAGCCCCUGCUUUUGUUGGACAUGGUGUGUACACACGGACACUGAUUCAGCUCUCCAAAAGCCAUUUUGGCCCUCACAACUUUAAGGAAGCCUUACAUUCUUAGGAGAUGGUCUAAAUGGGGGAUUCCUUUUGAAGCAACACGGCAUUCAUUAUUGUGUUGGUUCAGGUUUUGUUUGGCAAAAUGCAAAAACAUUGAAUUCAGUCGGAGCCUCCAUUAUAGUUUAGCCUGCAAAGACGAAUGGAAAACAUCCUGUUGGUGUCUUAAACUCGUCAAACGAAGCCCCGAAUUCGAGUAAUAACCCAGUGAACACAGGCAGAGAUAAAUACCUUUAAUUAGACCUAUCGAAUCUAUAAUUAUUAGUUUUGAUUGACUGAUAUUAUUGGUGACAUGAAAUUGGAGCAUGUGGAACACCCACCCAUACAGUCUCAUCGACCACCCGCCGCGCGUGCACGUGAUUUUGAGGUGUAAAUAAACAUUUGCACGUAUUUCUUCAUAUUUCCAGUUUUUGAACAAUUAAGACAAACAAUUUAAGGACUGGUUUAUUAACGCCGCCCAAUUAAAACAUCCCCCAGAACCAAUUUGUCUUCAUAUCAGCUGUCCUACCACGAUUUCUUCCAAAUAUUUUCAAAAUCGUUGCGAGCGGGUUUCGUCCCUCACGUCUGUCAGGUGCGAUCCAACAGAUGUGACUUAGAUGAUAUUUUAGAGUCCGUGAUUUUAUUUUUUCGUAAUCUUUGCCGUUUGAAUAGAAACAUAGUUUGUUUUUUUUCCGAUCUGUUCUGCUCCCAUAAACUUUUGCUUAGUCCACUUCGUUUCAUGUGUCCUCACUAAAAAUAUGAAAUGCAACAGAUGUCGGAGACAAAAGAGGGAAAUUUAAUGGGAUACCGAUAAAAGUCAAACUGGCCGAUAUGCAACGCCAUGGCCUCUUUACGAUUCAUGAUUUUAGUGGCCAAAGAAAAACUAAUUGGAAAACAGUUUUAAUGCGGAUUUUGUAAUAAGAGUACAUCAGAAGGCCCGUAUAGGCCCCCUCUCUGCGUGACGUUUUCAUCAGUAUUCAUCCACCUGUAGCUUCAAGGCUUCUGUUGAUUUUGAAAUUAAUAAUGAUUGUUUUCGCAAACUACUCUACUCCCAUCAUUUGAGUUUGUUGUUUUUUUGUGCUGGUAUUUGGUGAAAGUCAUUAAAGCCGUGCUGUUGGAGAAUAGAUUAAAAACUUUAAAACGAGGACAAAAAAAGUGCUUUCAGAGUACUAAUUUUGACACUCAGCUUCUUAAAUAUUUAAUUUUAUGCAUUACUGUGCUUUUUAGUUUGGCUGAGGACCGAUAAAACCGACGAAAAAAAAGUUAAUGUAAAUUAAAUCUAAACUUAACCAAAGCUAUGUUUGUUGUAUUUUAAUUUAUAGAAAAUCGUCUUUUUUCUUUUUUUUUCUUUUUCUUUUUCUUUUCUUUCUUUCUUUCUUUUCUUUUUUUUACAGCAGAGGGUAUUACGGAGUAAGCUACUGAUAUUCGACCCACAGUCUAUUUGUCAUAAAAAAAAAAAACAUUUUCCAUUAUUGGCGCUUGCAGUGGUUUUGAUUUUUCAUCACUCAAAUGUAGCUGUUUGAAAAAAGUACGUUUUCUAUUGCAAUUUAGAAGCCCGCGCUGACUGACUUUGAUUGUGCUUAAUAUGAAAUGAUUUUGCGUCUUUGUGCUUGCUUGUGAGUAAGCGGAUUAGACUUGGAAAGAUGAGUUUCAACAUGUGGUGAUAACCUCUUCAAAGAGGAGAACAGUACAGCGGGUCAUCGCAGUUUCUUAUAUUUCAUUUACUUCAUUCAUGUGUUUUUUAAAGGGCCCAAAAAAUAUCAAGCGCCAGCUUACAAGAUUUGAACUGAGUUAAGGGCUAAUAGUCUUCAGGAUACACAUAUACAAACCACAUCUGAGGUCUGACUGCGCCAUUAGUUUAUCAGAAGGAAUAAAGUUUUAUGAUUGAGGUUAGCCUGUUUAUAUGUAGGAACAAGAUCCAUUGCUUUUAAAAUCACGUUUUCUGGAUAUCAAUAUCUAUGCCUGGAUAUUUAUUAGUUAAACGUAGGCCUUCAGUCAUACAGUUGUCGCAUGUAUCAUGGAAACCAAUUUAAUCUAUGAGCAAAGGGUUAUUUAAUAAUUCUACCUUGUUUUUCCAUGAGGUACAAAGUUGUAUUUGGUCUGUGUUUUUAGAAAAUGUAGAAUGUGUCUGGUCCUCUAAGUUAUAGAUACUCUUGUCCAACAAUCAGGGGAAAUCACAGUAAUUCAGCAACUACUUCAAAGUAAAAUGCCUCUGGAGUCACUAAGCAAAGAAAGAAUUAAUUUGCAUCACAUUUUCUAAUUAAAAACGAAACUUUUUUUUCUGUGUGCAAAUAUAUAGAUAUUAGGGUCCAGCUUACUGUGCCUAAAAUGGCAAGAAAAAUAAUGGAGAAUUUCACAUGUUAGACUCACCUCUGCUUCCAAUGUAAAAGAGUCCUUAAAGAAGUGCGGUGCGAAUAAUAACUGAGGCAUUAUAGGACUUAACUAUUAAGAAAUUCCAUAUGUUUAACUGUAAUAUAUCACAUAGAUUGCAGUCAAACCUUGACACUUUUUAGAUGACAAGUAUGAGCACAAUUUUAUAUCAGGUCUCCUGAUAAAGAUGAGUGUUCCAGACUGAGAAGCGAGUGUUUGAGAAAGAGUUAUCAAACUAAAUGAGGGAACUAAAGUCAUUCUGUGUUUCACAUCUUAAUGGAUUUAAAGACAGACCCAUUUAAUUCACUGGCGUGCUGAACACUUGUAUUCACGUGUCUAAUUUUACACAAUACAGUAUGUCUGUGGAGCUAAUUGUGCCUAAUUGUGUGUGUUCUGGAAUGUAUGGGCUCAUCAUAGUUGUCUUGUUGUCUGUGCCUCCAUGUGCCUGUGUGCCAGUGUCAGUGUGUGCCCAUAUGUGAGUGUAUGCAUGCUCCACUACUCUGUAUCUGUGUGUGUGCACCCAUGUGUGCUGUAUGCAGCCUAUUAGUGGAGUUUAACCCCUGUGUUCAGGGAGUCACAUCCCCUCAACACACAGGCUCCAUUCUUAUUCUGAGCUUGCAGCACGUUAACAUUUUACUCUCUUCCCUCCCCACCCACCCCGUUCACUUUUGUCCUAAGAGGGCAAUUAAGGAAACAAACGUUUUCCCCAAGAUAAGCUGGCUGCCAGCUUUGCAUACUAAUGUAUUGCCAAGUGGUUACAAAUAGUGAGUGCUCUAAUUACCGGCACUAUUUUCAAUCAGAAAUUGCUCAAUUUCCCAGGAUGAGGUCUCUAUGGCUAGGAAAAAAGCCCAACCUGACAGGAGAAAGAGACAAUCAUCUCUAUGUGGAGUGCGGCUGAUUUUGUCUGGCUAUGUGUGUGUCCAUGUGCCUACGUGUGUGCAUGCAUGUUUGUGCGAACAAGUUCAUCUUCCUCUGUGUGGAUAGACCCCGGCAUGACCCACUCUUUUGCUGUUGCCCUUGACAAGUCAAGAAAUGGAUCCUGUCAGCCUCUACAGCAUUUAGCACCACAAUUAUCCCCUUUCACAGCCUGGCGGCAUUAAUGUAAACCACACCAGGCAGUAGUUGCCACUCAGUGAUCAGCACGAUGUGGUGCACCAUCUCUGGGUGAGCAAUUUGAUGCAAUUGUGUUGCUCUGUGAUCAUCAGUGCAAAUCAGGCCCUGCUCAUUUAUUAAGCAAUUUCUGCUGGAGAAAAUGAGAUGGAAGGCUGUUUUAAUUUGGCAGGAGAUAGUAAUAUCUGUAAAAGCAAAAAUAAUGGAGAAUGUGGUUGACACCAAACCCAAAAAAAAAAUGUCACUGAGUAGGGUGCAUCAGCUCAUCGGGGAGGGGGCUAUUCUGAGAGGAAUGGGCAUCCUCAUGUGGCCACCAGAAGUAGGGGGUAAUGCAGACCAAAGUGACAAGGACUCAAUCCCUGGAUGUGAGAAUGAGUCACUCCAUAGGAUGCGGAUGCAGGACCCAUCCGUUGGCCUUAGCUGACCUUUAGCUCUAACGGUGGCUAAUGGAGGGCUGGCCCUCGAUCAAUGCACUGAGAGACUGGGCUCCCUAUCCUUGCCCUUUCACCGGGCCAGGAAGGGAGGGAUGCUGCCAGAAGCCACGCCGUGCAGUCAUCGACCCUGCCACUUUUCCAUCCUGUGGGUGACAGCUGCAGUGCCAAUGAGCCUGGGGACGCCAUGCUGCCCUGCCACGUAGGAAGGACAGCCAGAAACUCUGUCUCUGUGGUGAUGGUGAUCUGUUUGUGAAGAUGACAUCCACGUAAACAACCCCAGCAAACACGUUGGUGUCAGAUUCUCAUAUGAUGCAUUAGUGUUGAAAACCUACAUGAAAGAUAAAACUUGUUUGAAUCUGCCUGAAGUUGUGAGUUUUAUCUUAAAACUUAUUCAGAAGCUGUUCAAAUUGUUAUUAUUGUUAUUAUUUGACUGCUAUUAUACAAAUUACAACUAUACAUAUGAUAAGAUGCAAAUCAGUCGUAGUUGUUAGAUCUGCAGUGUAGCGUCUGUACACACAAAGAGGUAAAGUCACCUUUACUUUACUUUUAUUGCAUUUGUUUAUAAAACGUUACAGUCGCAUUUGAAAUUUAGGUGUUGUUGGUAAACCUUUUAUGCCGCACUAUGUUUUUGUGCUUGGUGAUGUACUUUGUAAUCCAGAUGGCGCACCACUGCAUACCUUUUUAUCAGAACACACUCUUCUGCAAAGAGACAACAUUUGCAUAAAAACACCAAAAACACCAAAAAAACCAAAAAUGAAAAUGAAAAUAUUUAGUGCGCAUUUUAAUUGCAGAGACUUCCAAACAUGACGAUGUUCAAAAUAGUAGCAGAUGAAACAUUCUCUCCAUAUGGAGAGAGAAAAGAAAACAUCCAAGAGGUUUAACACAGAUUGUUCUUUUUAUUAUCAUUAACAGUAAUGUGAUUUUGAAGCCCUCUGUGACCUCCUCACAGCAGCACCUCAUUUCAGAAGUCAUUCAUUAGAACAAACAGAAGGCAGGCAGAAAGACAGCGAGGAAGAGACAUGGGGAGCGAGCAUAGUGUAAAAUAAAUUAGACUGUUCUUGUUAGAUGAACCACUUUGAGAUGGUGAAAGAAAGCAUGCUUCAGAAAUUCAAAGGCAAUCCAAUAGUACUGUAUUUGGAGAUGAAGAUGUCAUGUGGAGCCCGUGAUCCAGUUGUUAGUUUGUGCUAUAUGUAAUCAGUCAAACUACUGUCCAUUUUGGACUGUAAGGCCCAAGGGAAGCCUUAAAAUAAGGGUCUGAGGAGCAUGUUCGGACUGAGAUUGGGUAACACAGCUGUUCUUCAAGACCAUUGGUUGAUGUUGACUGCGGUGAAACUAAUCAAAAAGCUUCUUAAGUCUCCUCUGAUAUAAAUGGAUGGUACAGUCUUUCCCUUAUGAUUUGCACCAGUGUUUACAGAAUAAGGUUUUUAUACUACAGUGACAGCAAGGCCGCAUCUCUUCAUUAUGCACUUGGCCUCUCUUCUUAUCUGCACCCCUGGAGCUGCUUAUCUUACCAGGUCUGUAAAGGUCCACAUGACCUACCGCAAAUAUGCAAAUAUGUGAAUCUAUACAUACGUGAGAAUAAAAUAGUAGAAAUGUGAUACAGAGUGGCCAGAGGCUCGGCUGCACGAGGGGGGCAACAGUGGGUGGGGGAGGAGGGUGAAGCGAGCUGUGUGGAUACUUGGAGUGGUGUGACAGACUCCCCAGCCUCCUGGUAGGAUUUGUUGGAAUGUGAGAGAGGAGGAUUUUAGCACCAGGCGAGCCACGCCAGAGUGCUGCAGACUUCAUGCCAUCUGUCUCAGCCUCCAUCUUCUCUUUGCCAAACUCAUCAGACCUUUAUUUCCUCUCCCUCUUUCUCCUUCUCAUCCCUGUUCACAAGAGUAGCGGACAUACUGAGAUCUGCUAAUGUAUUGGAGGGAAAAAAUGGUCCAGCAUUAUAAAAAGAUUCAAAAUCUCAAUUGAUUAAUAUGUAUUCUUGGAGCUUAUUGUCCAGCAGCCCUGACGAAGAUAAAAAUGUGUGUUUUAUAGUCCUGCCAUUUUUUACUUGACCAACAGGGAAAGAGAGAGAGUUAUUCAUACCAUAGAUGAUAUGGUGCUCAGUUAAUAAUAAAAUGUGUUUCAAGUGACCGCCAAAAAGUUUACUUAUUUAAUGCUCCUUUAUAAACAAGCUCUUGCCUUUGAAAAAACUGUUGGAACAAUGUACACAUAUUGUGUUAUAAUAUGAUUAAAAGGUAUGCUAUAAAUAUUCAUUCUUUGUGUGGAAGUAAUUAUUUUCUCUAUGACUAAACUCAGGACUUUUUAAUGAUGCACUUUACACAAUCAAACUGUGGAUUACAGAUUUGAAGUUCCUUACACACCUUCAAGUUCAUAAAAAUGUAGCAGAUCCUUCACUAUAUACUACCAAAUUACUUCAAUGUAUAGACAUAUAUAUUGUUGGGCUUCGAUUAAAUCAAAAGCAGACUUAUAUUUCAAAUGAUGGUGUGACUCUGUGAUGUUUGGGUGGGACUGAUCUCUCACCCUGUCUCCGCAUGUGGGCGGCUAGGGAGGAGGCUGAAGGAGAUCACAGGGAGGAGCUGUACCAGCUCGAUGUCCUUAACCUGUUCUGAGAAGGGCAACAGAGGGUGGAGGGACUGGAAAGGAAAUGCACCCUUCGACCGAAAUGGAACACCAGGUGGCAGGAAGGGGGCAGGAGGCCUUUGAAGCUGACCCUUGGUCUCUGCGCUGGGAUGGCCUCAACACUCGAUUCAGCCAGAGAUGGCAGGGAGGGGAGCCAGGUGCCCCCAGAGGGCCUUUAGACCACACAGAUCUAUUAUGGUCGAGGCGGAGAGAUUAGGCCGGGGCUCAGCCCCAUUGCUCCCAGUCAUAUCACUGUGAAGACAGCCAGAGUCAAGCAACUGCAUCCUAACAAGCAGAAACAUACUGAGUAACGUCUCGUAUCAUCAUCAAAACUGUGUGUUUUAGGAAGAUUUUCCACUGUGAAAUUCUGUCAAAUCAGUAUGUAAAACGCUGCAUAAUUGGCACGUGUGCACACCUGAUAAAUGGAAUAAAUGUAGAUCAGCAGAAAGCUUUUGGAAAUGACAGAGUAAAUGUUGAAAGCAAUAAAGACAGAAACGAGUUAUUUCAGCAUGUUAAUACAUAUUUAUUUAUUUUUCACUGAAUAUAAACAGAGAUGAAUGAGCUGGGGAAAAAAUGUACUCUAGAAGGUGUAGGGAAGAAAGGAUCAAUCAAAAUCAGAAAAUAAAAUACACAAGAUUCAAUCAUACUACAUAACAGGAAGAUUGGAGCAUGAUCAAAGAGGUAUACAAACACAACAAUAUCACAAAAGAAGAAAAUUAAAUCAGCAGAUGUUUGUGUGCAGGAGUACACAUGUUAUUGUGACAAACUGCUAAGUGAUCCAGUAAACUGCAGGCAUUAUAUUGAAUUUGCCAGAAGGAAAACAUCAGCAAAUACUCAACAGCAGUUGUGUGAUUUGGGAUACUUUUGCCAUUAAAACACAGAUGUAAAACAUCCAGUGAUAAAGCUGCAGCAGUUUAUUAGGAGAUAAGCUUGCAUGUCUAUGAAUCAGGCAUCCCAUUCAUAGUGUUCAGCUAGGACAACACUAGGAAUGCGCAGGCUGCUUUGUAUUUUGGCCAGCUUUGGAGGAGGUGAGUGCUAUCAGUGUCUACAUGCUCAUCCCUCUGUAUUUCUAUGUUUACUGCACACAACACGCAAGCAAACACACAUUUCCACGCACACUUACACUCACAAACAGAAACUCAAAUCCUGAUCCUCACCCACCCCCCUAUGCUUCCCUCCUCGGGUGAGGAAAUGACACUCAGCGAGGAUGGCUGGGAGAAAUGAAGACAUGUCUGAUUUCCUCAGUAGCCAAUGGUGUUUCUGCUCUCUGUACUCUCUGCCCUCUGAUAGGUCUUUGUAACUCUCUUCAUCUCAAGGCCCAUGUCAUUCCUUCUAAUCUCCUUCCCAAACACAAACGGGCCAAUCCUGAGACACGGCUCAGGGGCUGGGGAGGGAUGACGCAGCUGAGGCAUGGAAAGAGUGAGGGAUGUUGUUCAGGAGGAGAGAAAGGUGCAUCAGAAGCUGAUGGUGGUGUGAGAAGGAGCCAAUGUGUUAUUAUUAAUAAAGCAUUAAAAAAAAAACGCGAGCACAUCAAAGCAUACAGGGGCUG